GCAUUGAAUCACCAGUUCCCUUAUGAUCACUGAAGUUAAGCAACAUCAAGCCUGGUCAGUACCUAGAUGGGUAACUGCUUGGGAAUAUCAGGUGCUGUAAG